rnacentral:tRNA from 1 species
GCGCUCGUAGCUUAACUGGAUAGAGCAAUUCCCUUCUAAGGAAUAGGUUGAGCGUUCGAGUCGCUCCGAGCGCACCA